GCAAACUUGGUCAUUUAGAGGAAGUAAAAGUCGUAACAAGGUUUCCGUAGGUGAACCUGCGGAAGGAUCAUUAAUAAGAAACGGCGUCCUCGUGGCCCGAUUCUCAAACCACUGUGUACUAAACUGUUUGUUGCCUCGGCGGGUUGGCGUACGGCUCUGCCGCGCGCCCCUGGGCACUCCCCAGGAGCCGCCCGCCGCAGGACCCAUUCAAAACCAUUUUGUUCAACGAACGUCUGAUGUUACCUUCGCGAAUGCGAUAAAUACAACUUUCAACAAUGGAUCUCUUGGCUCCGGCAUCGAUGAAGAACGCAGC
rnacentral:misc_RNA from 1 species